rnacentral:rRNA from 1 species
GUUCAGCACUAAGUCACUUUGUCUUUAUGGCAAAUGUGAGAUGCAGUGUAUGGAAUGUCAAAUUUCUAGUAUGAGAAAUUAACGAUUUAAGUCCUUCUUAAAUGAGGCCAUUUACCCACAGAGGGUGCCAGGCCCGUAUAACGUUAAUGAUUACUAGAUGGCAUUUCCAAAGAGUCGUGUUGCUUGAUAGUGCAGCACUAAGUGGGUGGUAAACUCCAUCUAAAACUAAAUAUAACCAUGAGACCGAUAGUAAACAAGUACCGUGAGGGAAAGUUGAAAAGAACUCUGAAUAGAGAGUUAAAUAGUACGUGAAACUGCUUAGAGGUUAAGCCCGAUGAACCUGAAUAUCCAUUAUAGAAAAUUCAUCAUUAUGAUUUUAAUAUUUAUAAUAUUAUAAUAAUAGUGUGCAUUUUUUCUAUAGCGGACAUUGUAAUCUAUUAACAUUAUAUUUAUCAUAAGAUCGAUGGUGCACAUGUUUAUUCGAAUUAUUUUGCUUGCAAUUUAACAUAGAAUAAAUGCUCUCGAUUGGAUAAAGUGUUGAUAGAUUUAUUGUAUAUAGUGCUUAAAUAUUUAUAUUUUAUAAUAGCAUAUUAAUCAUUGAUUUUUAUGUUUAUUAUAUGCACUUAUAUGAUUAACAAUGCGAAAGAUUCAGGAUACCUUCGGGACCCGUCUUGAAACACGGACCAAGGAGUCUAACAUAUUUGCAAGUUAUUGGGUAUCAAAACCUAAUAGCGAAAUUAACAUAACUUUUAUGGGAUUAGUUUUUAGAUUAUUUAUAGUCUAUUAAUUCAAUCCCGGGGCGUUCUAUAUAGUUAUGUAUAAUAAUAUUUAUAUUAUUUAUACCUCUAACUAGAGCGUACCUUGAGCAUAUAUGCUGUGACCCGAAAGAUGGUGAACUAUACUUGAU